rnacentral:sRNA from 1 species
GAGUGUUUCAUUUAGGAUUGUUGCAUAUGCAUAGGGGAUAAUGAUGAGAA